UACGUAGGGCGCAAGCGUUGUCCGGAAUUAUUGGGCGUAAAGAGCUCGUAGGCGGUCUGUUACGUCCGCUGUGAAAACCCAGGGCUUAACCCUGGGCUUGCAGUGGAUACGGGUAGACUAGAGGCAGGUAGGGGAGAAUGGAAUUCCCGGUGUAGCGGUGAAAUGCGUAGAUAUCUGGAGGAACACCGGUGGUGUAGACGGCUUCUGGACCGUAACUGACGCUGAGACACGAAAGCGUGGGUAGCAAACAGG
rnacentral:rRNA from 1 species